CUGAUCCGUCCAAGUUUUGUGAAGGUCAGAGACUUAAAAGUAUUUUUCAAUGGUUAGGGACAAAAAUGUCCGUGGGACAAAAGGUCAGGCACCUAUUUGUCAUUCUCUCUACAUUUUAUUUAUGGCAAUUUAAAAAACCUUCGCUAAUAAUUAAUUAAAUUAAAUUUUAAAACAAAAUCUAAUUUUCCCUUUUUUUCAACACGAGAGACUGGAUUAGCUCUGAGAGAAAGAGAGCUUCUGGAUCUCAUUCAUCAUCUACUGUCAUCGGCUUCAAACAAAACCGCCAUUUUCGCCGUCGUUUCCGCUGCCAUUUCCACCGCCGGCACCGUCACCACUGCCGUGUCUGUUGCGGUAGAGAGCUUCUGGAUCAGGGAGGUUGAUGUUGGCCCCGAUGGUAAGAUCCGUUACGAGGAUUUCAUCGCCAGAAUGAUCGAUGAGAUGAACGGUUGACAAUGAAUGAGGUGCGACCUGCGCCGCCGCAGUGGCUACCGGCUAUUGAAUUCUCAUAGCUCAGAUUCCAGAUUCUGCUGCAGCCAUGUUUUUGGCCUCGUAAUCGCUUCCGAUCAAAUUUCAGGUUAACCUUUGAAGUUUGAAGCUUAUCUCAUCCUACUCCUCGCGUUGCUUAUAUUUUCUUCUUAUUAUGAUAGAUAGAAUAAUUAUUAUAAUUAUAGAAUUUCAUACGAAUUUAGCAUCAUUGUGUGUUUCUUCAUUGACUUGAGUCUACUGUGGAUGAUUUUGUGAAAUUCGUUAUUUUCAUCAUCCUAUUAUACCUUUUGGUAGGUGCUAUUCUUGUUUGAACAUGUUUUCUAACUAAUUGAAGUUGCAAUGCUGCUUUACAUAUAUGUCUCUUGGUUAUCAUUUUGAUCUUCAAGUUCUUUAUGUUUGGUUGCUUCCAGCAGCAGAAAUAAGCUAAUUGCUGUGCUUCUAUAACAAGUUUAAGUUAGGCAUUGGCAAGACAUAUUUCUAAUUGUAAAGACAAUUUUGUGAUUAAUGGAGUUGUAUUUGAAAAUAUACUUUCAAUUUCAUGCUUGCCUGCCAUAGAAGCUUGCUUAGCCAUCAGACUCCAUGGGAGACAUGGUGAUCAUUUUGAAAUUAAAUCUCACAUAUUUGCACCUUGUAUCAUUGAUGAUCACAGUUAGCAUAGCAUCACAGAAAAUAAACAAGUCUUCUACUCUAGAAGGUACUUAUCUUGUCUCAUUCAUUAAUUCACAGCAUUCAUUUUGCUUCUUGAUUACUAGUAUUAACACGAGUACUUCUUUGAUUGACAUAUGAAACUUGUCUUGAAAGUACUGAAGAUUCUGAUGUACAUAUGAUAUUUGUUGGAUCGCUAAUAAGCAAUAAUAUUUAAAUAAAGUCUUUGAGCCUUAACAAGUGUAAAUGACUAUGUGUUUUCUUUUUUUUCUUUCUUUUUUACUUGCAUUUUAAUUUCAUCUUGCAUCAACUUGUGUUGAACAUUGCAAGGUAUGUCUUCAUUUUAGCUUGCAAAUUUUGUUUUUGAAUUCCAUUAUCCUGUUAAUGAUUGGAUUGAAAUUUUGUUCCGCUGAUUGGUGGCUGUGGUUAGCAUAGCGUCACAUAUCUCAACCUUUUUUUUCUUGUUUGAAUCCAGUGAUCCAGUUUUCAUUCCAAUUCCUGAUAACUCUGCCAAUAAGAGGAGGUUUGCUCUGUCUUGCCCUUAGAAACUAUGCUCAUGUUCCUUUUAUGAAGUGUCUCUAAUGUUGGGACGUGAUUGAGAAUUAGUGAUUGCUAAUAAGGAGGUCUAGUGUAGCUUGAAUCAAAUAAUUUCCUGUUCUUACUAUUCCAUAAUAAGUGCCAAUAAGUACUAACAUAAAACUCUCUCUCCGAUCAUACAUUCCAAUAUUUUUCAUAAGGUAAUUUUAGAACCAUUAUGGUCUGUGCUCCACAUUCUUGUUGGGAUAAGACUAAUAAACUACUUAUUUGCAUUCCUAGCUAGUGUCGUAAUAAGGAAAUUGAUAAAAUAAGGAAAUUGAUAAAAUGAAAAACCUUUCUCUUAAUGUGGUUUGUUUGCAAUUGCUAAUUAAUUAAGAUAGUACCUACCUAACUAAACCCAACCGAAUUUCAAUUCAUGCAUUUUGAAACAUUUAUCUAAUCAUAUUUUUAUUGCAUCGUUUUAGUUAAAUAUAUCAAUUAGUCUUAUUUGAUUGUAAUCAAUUUAGGCUAGUCAAAUAAUCUUAUUUGAUUGUAAGAUUUGCAACGGAUAGAGCUGGAUUAGUUGGUGCAGAUGGCCCUACACAUUGUGAUUCUUUUGAUGUCACUUUUAUGGCAUGUCUUCCUAACAUGGUGGUGAUGACUCCUUCUACUAGGUUCAAUGCAUAUUUUGAGAUUUUUAUGUAAUUAGAAUUUAGAUGAUAUUGAAAUAUUGAAAUUGUUUUAUUUUAUUUUUUUAAAAAAAAUAGUUAUAGUUAUGUAGAAUAAUACCAUAUAUGUUUGGAACUAUUGACGUUGAGGAAUUUUUUAUAUUUAGAAUUA